GAGACUCUGUUUCAAAAAAAAAACACAGCCAAGACUGACUGUGAGAAACCCUGGGAGCUCAGGAAGGAAGGAGCCGCCCAGAAGCAGGGACAGGGAGCUGGUGGGGAAGACCGGAAAUCAGGUCUGUGAAGGUUCCAGAGAGGACCUG